UGAAGAGUUUGAUCCUGGCUCAGGAUGAACGCUAGCGGCAGGCUUAACACAUGCAAGUCGAGGGGUAACAUUAGUGCUUGCACUAGAUGACGACCGGCGCACGGGUGCGUAACGCGUAUAGAAUCUACCUUUUACAGGGGGAUAGCCUUUAGAAAUGAAGAUUAAUAUCCCAUAGUAUUGCGAAGUGGCAUCACUUUGUAAUUAAAGAUUUAUCGGUAAAAGAUGACUAUGCGUCCUAUUAGUUAGUUGGUAAGGUAACGGCUUACCAAGACUUCGAUAGGUAGGGGUCCUGAGAGGGAGAUCCCCCACACUGGUACUGAGACACGGACCAGACUCCUACGGGAGGCAGCAGUGAGGAAUAUUGGGCAAUGGAGGUAACUCUGACCCAGCCAUGCCGCGUGCAGGAAGACUGCCCUAUGGGUUGUAAACUGCUUUUAUACAGGAAGAAACACUGCUACGUGUAGCAGCUUGACGGUACUGUAAGAAUAAGGACCGGCUAACUCCGUGCCAGCAGCCGCGGUAAUACGGAGGGUCCGAGCGUUAUCCGGAAUCAUUGGGUUUAAAGGGUCCGCAGGCGGUCAAUUAAGUCAGAGGUGAAAUCCCAUAGCUUAACUAUGGAACUGCCUUUGAUACUGGUUGACUUGAGUCAUAUGGAAGUAGAUAGAAUGUGUAGUGUAGCGGUGAAAUGCAUAGAUAUUACACAGAAUACCGAUUGCGAAGGCAGUCUACUACGUAUGUACUGACGCUCAUGGACGAAAGCGUGGGGAGCGAACAGGAUUAGAUACCCUGGUAGUCCACGCCGUAAACGAUGGACACUAGUUGUUGGGCAUUAGCUCAGUGACUAAGCGAAAGUGAUAAGUGUCCCACCUGGGGAGUACGAUCGCAAGAUUGAAACUCAAAGGAAUUGACGGGGGCCCGCACAAGCGGUGGAGCAUGUGGUUUAA
rnacentral:rRNA from 1 species